GUCCACGUAGCUCAAUAGGUUAGAGCGCAUCUUUUUUGAUGAUGAGGCCGUAGGUUCAAAUCCUAUCGUGGACC
rnacentral:tRNA from 1 species